GUGGUGAUGUGUGCUUGGAAUCAAUCAAAUGAGAACAAAUAAGAAAAUACUUGAAAGAUGGAAGAAUUUUAGAAGAAGACAAGGAUACAAGAAUCAACAAUUAACGAGAAGUACUUGAACCAGAUACAAACGCCAACAGCACCACCAAUACAACAUUGAAACCAAAGAGACGCACCCAACUUUCAACCUUCUCUCAUCACAUAAACCAAGAGGGAAAACCAAAAAAGAAAUCUGAAUUCUUAAAAUUCUGUAGAGGGAAGCUGUUCAUGUGUACUUGGGCUAAUGAAGAAGACUUCAUAAACAACAGCAGCGAUGCCAGCCCCGAGGAAUGGACCGAGCCAGUAGACCCAGUGGUUGUCCCAUGUCCAGCUGACUACUGCUGGUCCGAAGGAGACUGCUGGGUUCAUGGAUGCA
rnacentral:misc_RNA from 1 species